rnacentral:rRNA from 1 species
UACGUAGGGUGCGAGCGUUGCCCGGAUUUAUUGGGCGGAAAGGGCGCGUAGGCGGCCACGCACGUCCGUUGUGAAAUCGCCCGGCUCAACUGGGCGGGGUCAGCGGAUACGGUGUGGCUCGAGCAAGCUAGGGGGCAAUGGAAUUCCCGGUGUAGUGGUGGAAUGCGUAGAUAUCGGGAGGAACACCAGUGGCGAAGGCGGUUGCCUGGAGCUUUGCUGACGCUGAGGCGCGAAAGCGUGGGGAGCGAGCCGG